rnacentral:rRNA from 1 species
AUUGAACGCUGGCGGCAGGCCUAACACAUGCAAGUCGAGCGAACCCUUCGGGGUUAGCGGCGGACGGGUGAGUAACGCGUGGGAAUAUGCCCUUUGCUACGGAAUAGCCCCGGGAAACUGGGAGUAAUACCGUAUACGCCCUUUGGGGGAAAGAUUUAUCGGCAAAGGAUUAGCCCGCGUUGGAUUAGGUAGUUGGUGGGGUAAUGGCCUACCAAGCCGACGAUCCAUAGCUGGUUUGAGAGGAUGAUCAGCCACACUGGGACUGAGACACGGCCCAGACUCCUACGGGAGGCAGCAGUGGGGAAUCUUAGACAAUGGGGGCAACCCUGAUCUAGCCAUGCCGCGUGAGUGAUGAAGGCCCUAGGGUUGUAAAGCUCUUUCAGCUGGGAAGAUAAUGACGGUACCAGCAGAAGAAGCCCCGGCUAACUCCGUGCCAGCAGCCGCGGUAAGUCACACUACA